rnacentral:rRNA from 1 species
AUGUGCUUUCUUGUUUACCCCGGCCAGAGUUUCCAGGUGGUCUGCAUUGAUGUGUUUCCAAGGCAGCGCUCAGCGUGUCUGGUCGGCUUCAUGCAGUGCAGCUUCUCCCACACGGUGGUGCAGGUUCUGUGGUUGCUUGAGACGCUCGAUGUGCUCGACAACAAGGUGCUCCGUCAGGGGCGCAAGGAGUACUCCAGCUGGCCCAACUUCCUGCAGCUCUGCAUCAAUGGCGAGUUCUUUGGUGGAUGCGACAUCACCAUCACUAUGUAUAUAUGA